rnacentral:rRNA from 1 species
AUUAGAGAGUCUAAACAACUCCCAAACCCACUGUGAACAUACCCUACGUUGCCUCGGCAGGCGCCCGGCUCCGCGACCCCUCGGGGCUGCGGGGUGGCCCUGCCGGCGGCCCACGAAACUCUUGUCUAGCACUGAAUUCUGAGCCCGAGAGGGAUAAAAAACAAAAUUAGUUAAAACUUUCAACAACGGAUCUCUUGGUUCUGGCAUCGAUGAAGAACGCAGCGAAAUGCGAUAAGUAAUGUGAAUUGCAGAAUUCAGUGAAUCAUCGAAUCUUUGAACGCACAUUGCGCCCGCCAGUAUUCUGGCGGGCAUGCCUGUCCGAGCGUCAUUUCAAACCCUCAAGCCUCGUUGCUUGGUGUUGGGAGCCUACGGCUGUAGCUCCUCAAAGUCAGUGGCGUGGGCUGGCUCGCACCCCAGAUGUAGUAGUUAUUUCUCUCACCUGUGGUCGGGCUAGUCCCCUGCCGUAAAACCCCCCAGACUUUUUAGUGUUUGACCUCGGAUCAGGUAGGGAUACCCGCUGAACUUAAGCAUAUCAAUAAGCGGAGGAAAAGAAACCAACAGGGAUUGCCCUAGUAACGGCGAGUGAAGCGGCAACAGCUCAAAUUUGAAAUCUGGCCCUCGGGUCCGAGUUG